rnacentral:tRNA from 1 species
GAAGUCCAGUGUUCAGGACACUGCGCUUCCACUGCAGGGGGCACAGGUUCGAUCCCUGGUC